GGAGGGGAUGUGAGGUCAGGGGACCUGCCUGUUACCAGCUGUAAGAUCUUGAUGAACCAGAGGUGAUAACAGAGGCCCUUCCUGGAACUGCUGUGAGGAGUAAAUGAGAUAAGAACGUGGAAGUGAAGCACAGGUGUCAGUUAUUAAUGAGAGUCUGUUAACCUAAUAGACACCACUGACUGAGCUCUUACAACUGCACGGGACGAGGGCUUCACUUCACUAGCCUGGCCUCCUUUAAUCCAAUAAUCGCACAAAGAGGGCCCUGUAAGUAUCUCUAUUUAUCAAAUGAAGAAACUGAAGGCCAGAGAAGUCAUGGAACCUACCCCAGGUCACACAGCUGGUCAGUGGCACAAUGUGGAUUUGAACACGGGCUCUUGGUCACUCUGCGGUGCUUUCCUCUAUGCAGCAGUCUCUGUGUUAGCCACAGAGAUGUGAAAGUGGCGAUCUUGUGGGGUCGAGACUGCAGAGCGCACAGCUUGGCUGUAACACACACCCACAAAGAGGUUAAAGCUGAGCCAUCAUUAGAAGCAGCACCCAGCUCGGGUUCCUGCUUCAGCUUGGGAAAUAGAGAUUAGCAUAUAAAUAGCCUUCGGUGCCUGCUUGAUUCCAGCUAUUUUGCGUUUCAAUGUGGCAUCAGAAUGCACUUAGCAAGAAAUGUUCGAGAGGAGAAAGAGACUCCAAGGAGCCAACAGACCCCCUAGAACGGAGCCUUAGUUUACGAGGCAGCUCUUUCUUCGGACCGGGAAAAUAAGUCAAAAUGGUGCACAGGAAGUAAGAUAAAUACGCGGGCUUCCUCCCGGAUCCGGCUGGAGCCCUGGGGGGCACAGUCGUGCCCUGCUCCUCCCCCCCACGCCACCCAUCAGCAGAGGGACGUUGGACAGCUCCUCCAGGACCCGUCUGCUGGAGCAGUGAGAGCGAGUGCUGGCUUUCUGCCUGGAGGGCGAGUUCCCUCCUGGGAAAUUGCAGGGACUGGGCGCCGAGCCCGGGGUUCUUUCUGCCCUCUUCAUUCCACCCCCACCCCUCCACGCACGCAUGCCCGCGUUCCGGC
rnacentral:lncRNA from 1 species